ACGGCCACCUCACGUUGAAACACUGCUUCCCGUACGCUCACCGAAGUUAAGCAACGUCGGACCUGGCCAAUACCUAGAUGGGCGUCCGCUUGGAAAUACCAGCUGCUG